GUGCCAGCAGCCGCGGUAAUACGGAGGGGGCCAGCGUUGUUCGGAAUUACUGGGCGUAAAGGGCGCGUAGGCUGCUGCGCAAGUCGAACGUGAAAUCCCUCGGCUCAACUGAGGAACUGCGUCCGAAACUGCGUGGCUCGAGUCCCGGAGAGGGUAGCGGAAUUCCCAGUGUAGCGGUGAAAUGCGUAGAUAUUGGGAGGAACACCAGUGGCGAAGGCGGCUACCUGGACGGGUACUGACGCUGAGGCGCGAAAGCUAGGGGAGCAAACAGGAUUAGAUACCCUGGUAGUCC
rnacentral:rRNA from 1 species